rnacentral:lncRNA from 1 species
AGGCGACCUUAUGCAAUGUUUCUCAAGAAAAGGGCCUCUUACACAACUGGCAAAGGUUACUUUCAGAUGCGCUAUUUGGUGGAUGUGGAAGGAGAGAUGUAAUAGAAUCUUUGAAUGUCAACACACAAACAAUGCUCAGCUCUUGAAAGAGAUUAUUAGAGACUCAAGAUCCUGUAUGGAGCAUGAUCUCAAAAUCGAGCACUUCACCCGAAGAGAAAAA